GACAGAGGGUGCAAACGUUGUUCGGAAUUACUGGGCGUAAAGCGCGUGUAGGCUGCUUCGAAAGUCGGAUGUGAAAGCCCUGGGCUCAACCUAGGAAGUGCAUUCGAAACUUCGAGCUGGAGUCCUGGAGAGGAAGGCGGAAUUCUCGGUGUAGAGGUGAAAUUCGUAGAUAUCGAGAGGAACACCUGUGGCGAAGGCGGCCUUCUGGACAGUGACUGACGCUGAGACGCGAAAGCGUGGGGAGCAAACAGGG
rnacentral:rRNA from 1 species